UCCACAUUCUUCGAGUUCAUCUGUAUCAUUCUGUAUGCGACUUGGUUUGCUAAGAUUCCAAUUGUGAAGCACUACCGCUCGAAGGCAGCCUCAGAAGGUUCCAAAACUGUCUCAGCUGAUCUUGCUGCCGCUGGAAUCCAAACACAGGAUGGAGACUCUGAAGAAGAUCGAUUGAGCAA